rnacentral:rRNA from 1 species
UACGUAGGGUGCGAGCGUUAAUCGGAAUCACUGGGCGCAAAGCGCGCGUAGGCGGCUUUUCAAGUCAGGGGUGAAAUCCCACGGCCCAACCGUGGAACUGCCUUUGAAACUGUAGAGCUUGAGUGUCGGAGAGGGUGGCGGAAUUCCAGGUGUAGGAGUGAAAUCCGUAGAUAUCUGGAGGAACACCGGUGGCGAAGGCGGCCACCUGGACGACAACUGACGCUGAGGUGCGAAAGCGUGGGUAGCAAACAGG